ACUACACGAAGCUGGAAUCGCUAGUAAUCGCGAAUCAGAAUGUCGCGGUGAAUACGUUCCCGGGCCUUGUACACACCGCCCGUCACACCAUGAGAGUUGGGGAUACCCGAAGCCUGUGAGCUAACUUUAUAAGGAGCAGCAGUCGAAGGUAGAAUUAAUGAUUGGGGUGAAGUCGUAACAAGGUACC
rnacentral:rRNA from 1 species